CCUACGGGAGGCAGCAGUGAGGAAUAUUGGUCAAUGGACGAGAGUCUGAACCAGCCAAGUAGCGUGAAGGAUGACUGCCCUAUGGGUUGUAAACUUCUUUUAUAUUGGAGUAAAAUGUUCCACGUGUGGGAUUUUGUAUGUACCAUAUGAAUAAGGAUCGGCUACCUCCGUGCCAGCAGCCGCGGUAAUACGGAGGAUCCGAGCGUUAUCCGGAUUUAUUGGGUUUAAUGGGAGCGUAGGUGGAUUGGUAAGCAAGUGGUGAAAGUUUGCGGCUCAACCGUAGAAGUGCAGUUGAAACUAGCUGUCUUGAGUACAGUAGAGGAGAGCGGAAUACGUAGUGUAGAGGUGAAAUGCUUAGAUAUCACGAAGAACACCGAUGGCGAAGGCAGCUCUCUGGACUGCAACUGACACUGAGGCUCGAAAGUAUGGGUAUCAAACAGGAUUAGAUACCCUUGUAGUC
rnacentral:rRNA from 1 species